rnacentral:rRNA from 1 species
UAGGGAAUCUUCGGCAAUGGGGGCAACCCUGACCGAGCAACGCCGCGUGAGUGAAGAAGGUUUUCGGAUCGUAAAGCUCUGUUGUAAGUCAAGAACGGGUGUGAGAGUGGAAAGUUCACACUGUGACGGUAGCUUACCAGAAAGGGACGGCUAACUACGUGCCAGCAGCCGCGGUAAUACGUAGGUCCCGAGCGUUGUCCGGAUUUAUUGGGCGUAAAGCGAGCGCAGGCGGUUUGAUAAGUCUGAAGUUAAAGGCUGUGGCUCAACCAUAGUUCGCUUUGGAAACUGUCAAACUUGAGUGCAGAAGGGGAGAGUGGAAUUCCAUGUGUAACGGUGAAAUGCGUAGAUAUAUGGAGGAACACCGGUGGCGAAAGCGGCUCUCUGGUCUGUAACUGACGCUGAGGCUCGAAAGCGUGGGGAGCGAACAGG